GAAGGAGGCUGUCCUGCUCCCACUACAGUGCGGCCGAAAAAAAGGAAAGAAUGCCCACAUACAGUGACAGGGAGCCAGGGUUAUUACCCUGUGAAGAGCGUUGCCAAAUACAAAGUCAUUAAGGGUCAAAAAUGGAAGCAAGUGGAGUGGGAGCCAUGCAAACUCUGUGGAAAGAAGUGGCCAUUGGAGUGGGUGGCGGAUAUGGACACUUGUUAGUGCUCCCGUCAGGUUGUGGAGCACUUUUUUUGUGUGUAGUUUGCCUUUCUUUCUUCUUACUGUUGUGAAAAUAAACGCUUCUUGCGACUGG